rnacentral:rRNA from 1 species
UACGAUGGGGGCGAGCGUUGUUCGGAAUUAUUGGGCGUAAAGGGUGCGUAGGCGGCCUGACAAGUCUGAUGUGAAAUCCCUGGGCUCAACCCAGGGCCUGCAUCGGAAACUGUCGGGCUUGAGUAUGGGAGAGGUGAGUGGAAUUUCCGGUGUAGCGGUGAAAUGCGUAGAUAUCGGAAGGAACACCUGUGGCGAAAGCGGCUCACUGGACCAUUACUGACGCUGAGGCACGAAAGCUAGGGGAGCAAACAGG